rnacentral:rRNA from 1 species
UACGGAGGAUGCGAGCGUUAUCCGGAUUUAUUGGGUUUAAAGGGUGCGUAGGCGGGAUGCCAAGUCAGCGGUAAAAAUGCGGUGCUCAACGCCGUCGAGCCGUUGAAACUGGCGUUCUUGAGUGGGCGAGAAGUAUGCGGAAUGCGUGGUGUAGCGGUGAAAUGCAUAGAUAUCACGCAGAACUCCGAUUGCGAAGGCAGCAUACCGGCGCCCUACUGACGCUGAGGCACAAAAGCGUGAGUAUCGAACAGG